rnacentral:rRNA from 1 species
AUUGAACGCUGGCGGCAGGCCUAACACAUGCAAGUCGAACGGUAACAGGAAGCAGCUUGCUGCUUUGCUGACGAGUGGCGGACGGGUGAGUAAUGUCUGGGAAACUGCCUGAUGGAGGGGGAUAACUACUGGAAACGGUAGCUAAUACCGCAUAACGUCGCAAGACCAAAGAGGGGGACCUUCGGGCCUCUUGCCAUCGGAUGUGCCCAGAUGGGAUUAGCUAGUAGAUGGGGUAACGGCUCACCUAGGCGACGAUCCCUAGCUGGUCUGAGAGGAUGACCAGCCACACUGGAACUGAGACACGGUCCAGACUCCUACGGGAGGCAGCAGUGGGGAAUAUUGCACGAUGGGCGCAAGCCUGAUGCAGCCAUGCCGCGUGUAUGAAGAAGGCCUUCGGGUUGUAAAGUACUUUCAGCGGGGAGGAAGGGAGUAAAGUUAAUACCUUUGCUCAUUGACGUUACCCGCAGAAGAAGCACCGGCUAACUCCGUG